AAAUUGAAGAGUUUGAUCAUGGCUCAGAUUGAACGCUGGCGGCAGGCCUAACACAUGCAAGUCGAGCGGUAGCACAGAGAGCUUGCUCUCGGGUGACGAGCGGCGGACGGGUGAGUAAUGUCUGGGAAACUGCCUGAUGGAGGGGGAUAACUACUGGAAACGGUAGCUAAUACCGCAUAACGUCGCAAGACCAAAGUGGGGGACCUUCGGGCCUCAUGCCAUCAGAUGUGCCCAGAUGGGAUUAGCUAGUAGGUGGGGUAAUGGCUCACCUAGGCGACGAUCCCUAGCUGGUCUGAGAGGAUGACCAGCCACACUGGAACUGAGACACGGUCCAGACUCCUACGGGAGGCAGCAGUGGGGAAUAUUGCACAAUGGGCGCAAGCCUGAUGCAGCCAUGCCGCGUGUGUGAAGAAGGCCUUCGGGUUGUAAAGCACUUUCAGCGGGGAGGAAGGCGAUAAGGUUAAUAACCUUGUCGAUUGACGUUACCCGCAGAAGAAGCACCGGCUAACUCCGUGCCAGCAGCCGCGGUAAUACGGAGGGUGCAAGCGUUAAUCGGAAUUACUGGGCGUAAAGCGCACGCAGGCGGUCUGUCAAGUCGGAUGUGAAAUCCCCGGGCUCAACCUGGGAACUGCAUUCGAAACUGGCAGGCUAGAGUCUUGUAGAGGGGGGUAGAAUUCCAGGUGUAGCGGUGAAAUGCGUAGAGAUCUGGAGGAAUACCGGUGGCGAAGGCGGCCCCCUGGACAAAGACUGACGCUCAGGUGCGAAAGCGUGGGGAGCAAACAGGAUUAGAUACCCUGGUAGUCCACGCCGUAAACGAUGUCGAUUUGGAGGUUGUGCCCUUGAGGCGUGGCUUCCGGAGCUAACGCGUUAAAUCGACCGCCUGGGGAGUACGGCCGCAAGGUUAAAACUCAAAUGAAUUGACGGGGGCCCGCACAAGCGGUGGAGCAUGUGGUUUAAUUCGAUGCAACGCGAAGAACCUUACCUGGUCUUGACAUCCACAGAACUUUCCAGAGAUGGAUUGGUGCCUUCGGGAACUGUGAGACAGGUGCUGCAUGGCUGUCGUCAGCUCGUGUUGUGAAAUGUUGGGUUAAGUCCCGCAACGAGCGCAACCCUUAUCCUUUGUUGCCAGCGGUUCGGCCGGGAACUCAAAGGAGACUGCCAGUGAUAAACUGGAGGAAGGUGGGGAUGACGUCAAGUCAUCAUGGCCCUUACGACCAGGGCUACACACGUGCUACAAUGGCAUAUACAAAGAGAAGCGACCUCGCGAGAGCAAGCGGACCUCAUAAAGUAUGUCGUAGUCCGGAUUGGAGUCUGCAACUCGACUCCAUGAAGUCGGAAUCGCUAGUAAUCGUAGAUCAGAAUGCUACGGUGAAUACGUUCCCGGGCCUUGUACACACCGCCCGUCACACCAUGGGAGUGGGUUGCAAAAGAAGUAGGUAGCUUAACCUUCGGGAGGGCGCUUACCACUUUGUGAUUCAUGACUGGGGUGAAGUCGUAACAAGGUAACCGUAGGGGAACCUGCGGUUGGAUCACCUCCUUACCUUAAAGAA
rnacentral:rRNA from 1 species